GCAGUCGACGGUAGCACAGAGAGCUUGCUCUCGGGUGACGAGUGGCGGACGGGUGAGUAAUGUCUGGGAAACUGCCUGAUGGAGGGGGAUAACUACUGGAAACGGUAGCUAAUACCGCAUAACGUCGCAAGACCAAAGAGGGGGACCUUCGGGCCUCUUGCCAUCGGAUGUGCCCAGAUGGGAUUAGCUAGUAGGUGGGGUAACGGCUCACCUAGGCGACGAUCCCUAGCUGGUCUGAGAGGAUGACCAGCCACACUGGAACUGAGACACGGUCCAGACUCCUACGGGAGGCAGCAGUGGGGAAUAUUGCACAAUGGGCGCAAGCCUGAUGCAGCCAUGCCGCGUGUAUGAAGAAGGCCUUCGGGUUGUAAAGACUUUUCAGCGGGGAGGAAGGGAGUAAAGUUAAUACCUUUGCUCAUUGACGUUACCCGCAGAAGAAGCACCGGCUAACUCCGUGCCAGCAGCCGCGGUAAUACGGAGGGUGCAAGCGUUAAUCGGAAUUACUGGGCGUAAAGCGCACGCAGGCGGUUUGUUAAGUCAGAUGUGAAAUCCCCGGGCUCAACCUGGGAACUGCAUCUGAUACUGGCAAGCUUGAGUCUCGUAGAGGGGGGUAGAAUUCCAGGUGUAGCGGUGAAAUGCGUAGAGAUCUGGAGGAAUACCGGUGGCGAAGGCGGCCCCCUGGACGAAGACUGACGCUCAGGUGCGAAAGCGU
rnacentral:rRNA from 1 species